UACGGGGGGAGCAAGCGUUGUUCGGAAUCACUGGGCGUAAAGGGCGUGUAGGCGGUUCGGUAAGUGGGAUGUGAAAUGCCCGGGCUCACCCCGGGACCUGCAUCCCAUACUGCUGAGCUUGAGUACAGGAGAGGGUGGGGGAAUUCCUGGUGUAGCGGUGAAAUGCGUAGAUAUCAGGAGGAACACCGGUGGCGAAGGCGCCCACCUGGCCUGCUACUGACGCUGAUGCGCGAAAGCUAGGGGAGCAAACGGG
rnacentral:rRNA from 2 species